UGAAAGAAAUGACAAUUUGAUAAGUUUACAGAUAAACGUCCAUCGCGAUACUGAAUCUAUAUUAUCAUAGUUGGAAGAUUAUUUCUCUGUUACUAUCUAUUGGCAGCAAAACUUGUCGAACGAUAAGAAAUUUCUUUCGACGAAGAGAUCAUCUCCGUCAGAUUAUAGUGAAUUACACACGGUAGAUGAUAACUUGCUCGUAACAAGCGAUUAAUUAAUAAAUAAGCGAUAUCGUUUUUCUUUUUUCUUUUCUUUUUUUCUCGCUUAUCGAAACGUUUAUUAAAAAAUUACGAUAUCAUUGUCAAUUUUUCACGAUAACAUUGUCGAUCUGUAAAAAUUUUACGUUAUUUUUAGAGAAAGAAAUGCAAUUAGAAAAAAAGAAGAAGUGCCAUUUUAUCAAAAUAUUAUGGAUUAAUUUUUUUAAUUUUCGAAGAAAAAAAAGUAUAGCCGUGUAGAUACAACGAACCCUCUCCCCUCGUUGAAGUGAAUUUCCUUGAUGAAUAGUGCAUGCUCCCGAAGUACGAGGAAAAAAAAAAAAAAACUCUCUAUUGAAAGAUUACCCUUCGUUGGCCAUGAUAAAAAACAGAUUUCGAUUCGAUAGAGAACGUAAUAAUAACAAACUUCUCAGACAAGAGAAAAGGUAUAUCAAACGAGAAACUUUCCCUCGCUGAAUCGAACCUUUCAUUAAUUCGCACGAUAUAAACUGAACUAUUACACGGGAUAAAACUUGAUACUUCACAGAAAUCUAUUUUAAAAAAGCGGUCACUUUAACAACAGACUUCAACCGUGUUUAAAUCUUGACAAAUCGGAUAUUGAUUUACACCAAAAGAAAUUAAAAGGAAACAAGCGCGAACCAACUUCUCCAAAUUUCUCCACAAAUUGUGCAAGAUACGACUUCUUCCUCCUACUUUUAGUCGCUCGUUCCAGUCGCUUUUCCUGCGCUGCUCGUGUCUAUAGACAGUCUAUAGACAACAGCUUAUACCCUGUCUAUGAUCGAUCUGUUUGCUCAAGCAAGAGAAGUCCGAACCUGGCGUUGCAUAAGAGAAGGAUGAGAAGAAAGGCGAGAGAGAGAGAGAGAGAAGAAAGAGUGAAACGGAAUGGCGUUUAAUAAUUCGUCACGAGUGGAGAAUCGGUAGCCUGUUCAAAUAUUUAGGACAGGUUUAGUUAGCAGUGUGGUGAUGAUACUUUACUUACUAGUCAAGCCCCUUCUGAAAAUUCCAUGAAAACAUUUGAUGCAAGUUUGAUGAGAUCACAUUGUGAACAAGCCACGUGUUCGAGGAGGGAAAAAAGAAAAAAAGAAAACAGUAUGCAAUUACUUCAUCACAAUUACUUGAAAGGGUUAAUUAUCGGUGAUCGUGAACGAAUGCUCGUGAGAAA